rnacentral:lncRNA from 1 species
CAGCCUUAGGGCCCAGAUAAAUAGGGGUUUACAAUUACAAAUUAAGUGCAAGGUUUACGGGGUAUUAUAGAAGCAGUCAGGGUGCCCUUAUACUCCGCAUGAAAAUUUGAGACACGUAUCCUUCUCAACGCAAAGAUCUGGAGGCCCAUAUGCAAGCAAGGAGGCCCACACGUGCAAUAGACAUGUGGCCCAGCCUGUACAGCCUCUAAACAUGCACGAGUGCCUGCACGAACUGCGUGCACUAAUGCUUGGGAGCGCCCAUGAACGCGGCUCUCUUGGCCCACGUGGAACCAACUGCGCACACAUAGGUCCAAGGGCCGAACGUGCGCAUCCCAUGUGGACAGACCUGCAGAUGGUCCAAGCUCGCCUGCACGUGACUCCUGCAGGAUUUCUCCCUCACAACUCCUGCAGGUUUUAUUAUUUUAAAACCUUUAAAAAAGCCUUAGGAUCCACUUUUCAAAAUACCCAUGUGUUAAAAUUAAUUUUCACAUGUGUUUUAAAUGGAUUUCAUAUGGGAUAAAUAUAGAUUUAAAGUAAUAAUUAUUUUAAUGUAUGUCUAUCCCUUAGAAUUAUUUAAUUUAAUAUAUUUAGAAUAGAAUAAUUAUUUUAUUAUGUAAUUAUCCUAUAUUAAGAUAGAAUUUUAUUCAUUAAAAAAAAAUCCCCUAUUUUAAUUAUGUUUGAACUUGUCACGAAGAGGAAAAGCAAUCGUUGGUUUCCUUUGGAAUCAACCAUAUUUUCCACUACUACAAUAUAGUAUUAUUGGAAAAUAGACUCUUUUAUCUUUAAUCGAUUUGACACCCAUCAAAUUUUGGCACUGUUGCCGGGGAAUUGAGUAAUUAAUUAUUUUUUUCUUUUUUUUACGACCCAGAGAUAGAAAAGACAGAAAACAACCUGAGAAAACAAACUAAAUAGAGAAACUGAUGCAACCACAAGAUCCAAGAAUUGAAGAAGACAAUCAAACUAUAAAAAUUGAAGUAGCAUCAGAAUCGAUGGCACAAGAAUGCACUUCGAGGGAAUUGGCUACUCCACCUAAGAACGAGCAGCCCUUUUUCAUUACUUGUCCCGAAUUAGAUGUACCCUUCAAACUGAAGUUGAGUUUGAUCCGUUUAUUGCCUAGAUUUAGAGGACUGGAGAAUGAAAAUCCACAUAAACACCUUAAGGAAUUCCAUAUGGAGUGUUCUAGUAUGAAACCACAAGGAGUUUCUGAAAAGUAAAUCAAGUUAAGAACAUUCCCAUUCUCAUUGGAUGACACGACCAAAGAUUUGUUGUCCUACUUAGCUCUCCAUUCCAUUACAACAAGGGGAUAGAUGGUCAUGUCAUUCCUAAACAGAUUAUUCCCUAGUUCUUGAGCUGUCAUGAUAAGAAGAGAAAUUUGUGGCAUCAAACAGAAGGACACCAAAAGCAUCCACAACUAUUAAAAAAGUUUAAAAGACUAUGCGUCAGCUGACUGUAGCAUGACAUAUCUGAACAAUCAAUGAUCCAUUAUUUCUACAAAGGAUUGAUCCUUAUAAAAAUAAGAAUGUUGGAUAUAGCUAGCAGAGGCACAAUAGUAAACAAGACUCUCCAAUAAGCAAGAGAAUUAAUAUCAAUCAUGGCAGUAAUUUUGCAGCAAUUUAGAGCCUCACGAGACACUUCAAGGAGAGUGAAUGAGGUAAGUAUUUCUUCUAUUGAGUCUCAAAUUUCUGAACUAACGCAUCUAGUAUAGAACAUAAUUACAAAAAAUUGACCACGAGCGAGAGUAUAUAGGAUAUGAACACAUACAAGAUACCCCACGAACAUGUGUCCUAUGCUUCAAGAAGAUGAUAUGCAACAUGUCAACGCCAUGGGAGGAUUCUAAAAUCAGCAACAAAUACUCCAAUACAUACUACCCCAUAUGGAGAGGCCAUCCUAAUUUUAGCUAUGGGACAAGACAAUAGAAUUUUCAACCAUACCAGAUUUGGCCACCUCUCCAACAAUAAGCAACUACCCCGAAGCAAGUUAUGUCUCUCGAAGAAAUUAUGAAAUCACUUACAACUACAUGCAGCAAUUCAAACAAAAAAUGAGGGCCAAUAUCCAAAACUUGGAAGUUCAGUAAGUGCAUUUUCUAUAACAUGGCAUGUGAAUUUUAAGUGUAAUUUACGAAUUUAAAUUCAAUUAAUUAGUUUACAAGUAAAUUAAACCAUGAGAAAAAUAAAUAAAAUUAAUAUUUACUCAUUAAAAUGCAAAAAAAUAAAAUUAGAGACUGAAUUAAACAAAAAUAAAUCAAUUUUGGGCAUUCUCUAAUGCGGGAAGGUAAAAGGAGGAUCAAUCAACUUUUAUAACCCACUCAACGUUAUGCAAUGCCGAAACUUAACUUCUUAGAAAACUCCUUCCUCUAAUUAAAUCUACUAUCCUAAAAGGAAUGCAAAAACAAAGAUUAGAAAAAAUAAAUAAAGGAAGAAAAAAUGCUAUGAAUGUACCGAUAAGUUGUUCCCUACUCCUUAGCUCAACAAAACUUCUAAAGACUCUUGUUUCUUGAAGAACUUGAAGAAGGUAAAAUUAGCAAAAGAUAAUUGAAGAAAAGCCUAAGAUUUAAAGAACUUCUCUCAAACUGAUUGUAAUUGAAUGUGCUUACAACCUAUGGACAAAAACUUAUUUUUAGCUUUUUUCAAGAUAAUUUUAGAUGAUUACAAUAUCUUGAAGAAAUUAAUAAAAUAAUAUUUUAGAUAAAAUUCUAUCUAAUUAUAGAAUAAUUACAUAAUAAAAUAUUUAUUCUAUCCUAUUUAAAUAUAAGAUAAUUAAUUAAAUAUUCUACAGUGAUAGAAUUUAUAUUAAAAUAAUAAUAAUAAUAAGAUAAGGCUUAUGCUACGUGAUUUUUAUGUAAAAUAUAUAGUAAAAUUAAUUUGGACAUGUGGGAAUUAAUUUAAAAACAUGGGAAUUAAAAGGUGAGGUCAAAGCAUUAAAAUAAUUAAAAUAAUUAAAAAAAUAAUUUAUUUAAUUAAAAGGUGGGAAGGGCUUUUUCUAAGUUUUGGAUAACCCGGAUGGGUUGCGCCGGUCAACUCGCGCGGAUCGUACAAUCUAAGCCCAUGGGUGACUGCGGGCUUGCGCACUUGGGCUGGGUGGGCUGGUUUCAGGCCCAGCCAUGUGGGGCGGCCAGUUCGAGCCUGCUAGCAGUGGGACUUCUUUUCUCUGGCUGUUACGAGCGGCGAUGCAUGCGACCCCAGGCUUUUGCACAUGUGUAGUGUUGUGCGCAUGUCACGCAUGUCUUGAAAGCAUGCCACGCACGCUGGGCCUGUCAGUUGCUCCUGCUGCACGCUCGCGUGCUAUUUCACGCAUGUGAGUUUUCUGCCUGUGCGGGUGGGCUCCCAUGCUUGCUACUCACGUGCCAAAGAUAGUUUAUGUAACACCCCGCCCAUCACUGUACUUAAAUGAUUUGAAAACUCUAUUUAUUCGGGUAUUUUGCCACUUUAAACUUAAUUAAUUUACUCAAGUUAAUAUUUAUCACGAUUCUUAAAUCUUGUUAAUUUUUAUUUUGCUUUUAUUUAAAUUUAGUUAAUUAUAUUUUCUUUUAAAUUUAUUAUUAAAUUUAUCUAGCUUAUUUAAAUUAAUUAUAAAAAAUUGAGAAAAAUAAAAAAAUUGCGAAUCGACAAGAAAAUCCUGCGAGAAAAAUUUUACGGGGAGACAGGUUGCUAGAACAGGUGUUGGGCGUUGCCCAGGUGCAUGCGUGUACAGUAGGCGCUGGACGUGUGCACAGUGUGUAUAGUGCGCGGUCAGGACCUACGCGAGACCUAUCGUGUGCUGGUAGGCCAUCCGCGCGUCACCUGUAUGCACAGUAAUCCAGCGCUGAUAGGCCCUGUGUGCCUUGGGCCUGCGCGCAGUAGGAUUACGUGCGGCGACUAGUGUGCCCAGGCCCUGCCUGCGUGGCAAGAGGCUUGUGCACUUGCUGGCUAGCCUAUAGUGCACCGGCCGGGGCACUACCACCUCAGGCGGCGCACUGCCGCCGUCGAUGGAAGAGACCAUCCUCCCUUAUUUUUUGUGCUGAGCAUCUUUUUCUCUUCUCUGUUCACCGAAUUUUACCACUUGGCGCGAAUCUAAUGGUUCAAAACUCUAUAAAUUGCCUUCUCCUUGCCUUCCUUUCCACACUACCAUUCUUCCAUUUUUCAAGAUUUAGAGAGAGAGACAGAGAUAGUAGUCUAGUGAGAGAAGAAGCGAAAGAAAGGAGAACGGUGAAGGAGAAAGCAUCGACGUUUCAGUAAAGAAUCUAAUAUUUCUUUCGACAUCUUAAGAAGUAUUUUUAGAUAAACUAAUUUAAAAUGAUAGUUAUUUUCCCUAUGUUGUAUAUCUCUGUGUUUAGAUGUGUUGAAUUAUUCUUAUUCUCAAGCAUGCUAUGUGAAUUGCAGACACUUGAUGAAUUUGCAUGUAAUAAAUAUAAUAUGUAAAAGGUAAGAGUAAAAAAAAAAAAGAAAAAAAAAAGAAAGAAAAGUGGAAUGAAGUCUGUAUGGUCUGAAGUGUAUCUGUAUUGACAUGUAUAUUGUAUCAAGUAUCUCGUUAGCCUUUUUAUCUCUAAGGGAUAUCUAUUUCCCUUGCCCUUCAAGGUACAUGUUUUUCCCUCCCCUAUCUCGUCUAGAAAGACAUAAGAGACCACUCCCAAUGGAUGUCGACGUACCCUCUGACGAGAGUGGUAUCGCACUAUCUAUAGGGGUCACCCGUGACUAAGUAAUGUCGUGACUGUAGAUAUUUAUUAGGGCCAUUAUGGCUGGUAUGGCUGUGGUCAUAGAUCGUACUAUGAUUUGACCAGUCAGAAAUGGGUUUGAGAAAAUUGCCAUAUAUGUAUCUGAUCUUGUCAUUCCACUUGGAUAGUUAAAAAUCUGUAUCUGUCCUCAAAGAUGGAAGUUAUAACAACUUCGCAAGCAUGACACAAAAAUCUGAGCAUUUCAUGAUUUAUUUAAUUUUCUCUAUUAUCUGGCAUGAUGUAUGUUUGGUUGUCUCAAUUAACAUAUAGUUUUCUUAACAAAUAAAUGAUUUUUCAUAAUGUGAGAUAGGUAAACGAGGAGGUUAUAUGCUAAGCUCUUAAUUCAAAAUAAAUAACUUUUGAAAUCUUACGAUGUUAAUUUAAUACUAUUUUCAUUAUUGAGCAUAUAAAACUCACUCUUUCCAUGCUCUGCCCCCCCAGAUGAGGAAGAAAGUGAAGAACCACAGGUUGACCUAUCUUUGGAAGUUUAUGAGGAUCUCGUAGAUCUACAAGUUUGAGUGCAUGACUAUUCCCGCACUCUGAUGAGUCCAAUAACAUAAUGAAAGAAGUGGCCUUUAUAUUUUGUUUUGUAUUUUGCAGGUACUUCUAGUUUCAGUAUAUGCAUGGAUUAGAACUCAUAUGUAUUUGUAAGGGAUUUGUAAUAAUUUUCUUCCGCUGCAUAAAUUUUAUCAUGCACUUGUUAUUCUAAAUCUAUAUCUGACACCCAUUUACCUUAAUUAGCACUUGAGAUAUCACAGAUGGCAUCAAAGCAGAAUUUCGCAGAUCAAAUCUCUUACAUUGAGGCCUUAGGAAGAUGAAUCCUUUAGAAUAUCUGGGAAAGAAAUAGGUCAUCUUUUCAAGAUUAGAUCACCAACUCGUGUCUUCUUUUCUUUUGUAGGAAUGACGCGAGGAAGACCAUUCGUAGAGCGUAUUGAGCGACUUGAAUCCCCGGAUCAUCCAACCAGGGCUGAAUUUGUAAAACUUUUUCGAGCCAUCCAAGGAUUAACUGCAUCCUAUGACAAAAUUAGGCCAAUCCUUGUCUCCCCCCUGUCCCUGAAUACCGAAACACAGAUCGUUCUAUCUCCCACAAUAUAGUGAAAUUUAGGAAACUUAACCCCCUAUACUUUGAAGGUGGCCCUGAUCCUUUAGUAGCUGAAGCUUGGAUCCUAUAGAUAGAGAAGCUCUUCUCUAUCCUAGACCUAAUCGAAGAACAAAAAGCUCCUCUUGUAGCUUUCAUGUUAAAUGGUGAAGCAGAAUAUUGGUGGGGACUUAAGAAGGAAGUCCUUCCUACCCCUACUACCUGAGAAGUUGCAUGAAUGCUUUCUUUGAUAACUUCUUCCCUGCCUAUGUUCGGAAAAAGAAAGAGGAGGUAUUUUAGGACCUUUGCUAAAAAAGUUUGUCUGUUGCCCAGUAUGCAGGCCAUUUUGUUCAACUGUCUAGGUUUGCCCCUUUAAUAGUCACCCUCGAAAGCCAAAAAAUUAGAAAGUUUAUCAAGGGCCUUCGUGCUAACAUUUAUGACUGGGUUGCAAUGUUAAGACCCAGCUCGUAUGCAAAGGUGCUUGAACAUGUCCAGUUAGCCGAAGACCUUAUCUCCGCCAAGCAUCAAUGCAUUGCCUGAGUUCGUACCCAAUAAUAACCCCAACAGCUUAGAAGGAGAUUGUCUGACCUAGUAAGUAACCCUCUAAACAAACGAACUAGAGUUACCCUUCUUUCUGCCUUGCCCCCACCUACAGCUCCACCUGUCUAAUUUAACCAACCCUGUCAGCAUUGUGGCCGCUCGCAUGGUGACCUGCCCUAUUGGUGUAUCAAUAACGCCUGCUAUCGGUGCGGAAGCACCCAACAUCUUAUAAAGGACUGCCCCAACGACCAAAGGAUAUAACUCGACAGUCGAGUGUACCAUUUAGAUGAAUCUGGUGCCCUUCCUACUCUUGUCCUUAUCCAGGGUAUGCUUUUUAUUUAUAACACUUUUGCCAAAGCUUUGAUCAAUACAGGUGCAACUCACUCUUUUAUUUCCAAUGCAUUUGUUUGUAAUCUGGAGUUUAGACCAGAACCUUUAGAAAAAAAACUAGUGGUAAAAAUUUCCUCUAAGGGACUAUUAGAGGCUCAUUGUGUAUAUAAGGAUUAUAGGAUAAAAACUUCAUGAUUAUAGGUAUGUGUAAACCUAAUACUGUUAGAUUUUGUAGGAUUUGAUGUAAUAUUAGAAAUGGACUUGUUGGAAAAAUAUAGAGCUAUAAUAGUCUAUGAAAGUAAAAUUGUAACCUUACGAUCCCCAAAAAAGAAAUAAAAAUUAUUGUUAUUAUUUCUCUAACAAUUGAAUGAACAAGAAUAUGGGUGUUGAUCCUGUUGUGUGUUCCACACUAAUUGUUUGCAAUUUUUCAGAUAUCUUUCCCAUCGAACUUUCUAGUCUGCCUCCCCACGUGAGGUAGAAUUCUUGAUUGAAUAAUAAUCCUAGAACCUAGCUUAUUUCGAAGCCUGUCAUUAUUUUAAGGGAUCCUAACCCUAAACCUCAAUUAUAUGGGAUGUUUCCUAGAAUUUGCUCUGAUACCACCUAUGAUGCUCUGAUGCCAAGCGGGGCACCAUUGUCCAAUAUAACUGACAUAAAGAUAAAAUAAAUAUGACAGCGGAACUAUACAUCCCAAUAUAAAAUACAAAUGUUGUACACUGACGCAUUAGACUAUCUACACGAUAUACAAAUCAAAAGACAAUCUAUACAAAAUAUACUAGCCUCUAUAGUGUUUUGAAUAAAAUACAUAGGUAUACUCCCAAACUAAUCCUCCUAGAAGGAAUCUAAGCAAGACUCCUCCACAAACUCAUCCGAAUCAGCAUCUGUGAGAGAUUUGGAUUUGGGUGAGUUCCAAUACUCAAUAAGAUAGAUAAUAUUAAAGGUAUAUAAACAUGUUUUGAAAAUAGUUUCUUAACACAAAGUUAAGUAGAAUAGUGAUAAAUUAAAUAACAAUAUACAGUCAUUUCCAUGUUAUUCAAUUUACACGAUAACCAUUCAACUGUUAGUGACGCUUAAUACCAUAUUCAAUGUGUUUACAUAACUCACACAUGCACCCAGGACUAGAAACAUCUUCUUACUCAAUUUUAAUACAACAUUAUUAUGUUAAUUUUAGUUUUACUGUUUACAAUCCUACACGUAUGGUCGCUAACACUAUUUUCAAGGAGGGUGUGGGUCACCAACUAGCUAAGUAGUGGAAAUGCAAUCAAUAAAUAACAACAAAAACAUAAAUAAAUACAUAUAAAUCACUUAAUACUCUUCGAGCAUCAUCCCACAAUUUCACUCUGGUCACCGUCAUUCAUGUUCUUGAGCCAUAACAGUUCAAAGUCUGCAAACCACUAAACUUCAUCCCAAAAUAGAACCCAAUAUCACACCCAAAGCCUAGUGAUUCCCCUAUUAACCUCAAUAUCCAUUCAAUGAAAUCAGUGAACCGAAUUUAAGUGGACACUUUGUGUUAUUUGUAUUUUAAACUCCUCAGUAUUUUUCUUUCUUAUAUUAUUUUAUCCUAUAUAAUUUCUGAAAUGUAUAAUCGUUAUUAUUUAUUUACUUAGAUUAUUAAAUAAAUUAUUUUAAUUAAAUUUUCAUUAUUUAUUAUUUAAUUUUUUUAUUUAUAAUUUUUAUUGUUUUUAAUCAAUUUCAAUAUUUUAAUUGGUUUUAAUUUUAUUUUAUGGUCUUUUAAUUAAUUUGUUUUGAUUUUAAUUUUAUUUUAAUUUUAUAUAUUUACCAAUACAUUAUUUAAUUACAAUUAUCCCUUUUAAAUUCCAUUUACAUUUUACAAAUUUCCCAAUUCAAUAUCCAUAGUUUUGUUUCAAUUUAACACCUUUUUAUAGGUUUUAUUUAAUUGUAUUAAUCUUUCCCAAAUAGCCCAAUCUACUUAACAGAGGCAAUUGAGCCUUUAUUUUCAUCCCAUUUUCCCAUAUUCUACUUUUUAAAACAUCAUCCACCAUCUGUUGAAGUUAAACACCAUAUUCAAUAUUAAAAUUCAUCAACAACAGUAAAUAAAUCAUCGAAAUAAUGCUAACUCACUUACCCUUUUCAGCUUAAAUCACCACUUUCUUUUAGUUUUUGAAAAGAUUUACCGAAUGAAUCAACAUCUAGAAAAGCCAUACUUUUAUCACCCAUAAUAUAUCCCAUCUUACCUCAAAGAAGUGGCGAAAAUAAAGAACACGAGGAAAAGUUGAGUUUUUGAAGGCUUAAGGAACCAUUGUACAACAUAAUGGAUUGUUGCAGAAAUUGGAAUUAAUUUUCUGAUUUUUUAAAAGUGUUAAACUUUGUUUAACUGAUUCCUAACAACUUCAUAACACCCUAACAAUUUAUUCUAAUUGCUAACUAAUUAAAUUUGCAGAUAACAUAAGAUCUAGAUGAGGAAAUAACCAGAAAGUUUGGAAUUUUACCUGCACAGUCACAGUGACAGUUACUGCAGAAAUGGUUUAAUGAGGUUGCAGUGAUUCUAGGUUCAGAAUUUUGAGAAGGAGAUGUAUAAGUAUUCUAAAACCAUAAAGAAACUAUUUUAGGAGAAGAAGAUCGACUUAGAACAGGACAGAAGGAAAUCUCUUCCUUGUUUGCACUAGAUUUCCUUCACGGCACGACUCUCACUUUCACCUUUGAUUUCCAAUUUCUUCCUCGCCAAUCACUCUCGGUCUCACUCUACUUGUUGCGUUUUGGUUUUAGAUUGAAAUAGAAAAGAAGAAACAAAGGAGAAACCAGUUUAAAAAGAUUUGGGGGCCAAUCUUGGCCGUCCAAAACCAUGCAUGCACUCUUGGCCAUUAAUGCCAAGAGUGGCUGACAGCCCAAGGGAAGUUGUGAUCAGUGCUU